rnacentral:rRNA from 1 species
UACAUGUGGGGCGAGCGUUGUUCGGAAUCACUGGGCAUAAAGGGUGCGUAGGCGGUGUCGUAAGUCUUGGGUGAAAUCCUGCGGCCCAACCGUGGGUCUGCCUGAGAUACUGCGAUACUUGAGUGCGUGAGGGGUGACUGGAACGCGUGGUGUAGCGGUGAAAUGCGUAGAUAUCACGCGGAAGGCCAACGGCGAAGGCAGGUCACUGGCACGCAACUGACGCUGAGUGCACGAAAGCGUGGGGAGCAAACAGG